ensembl:lncRNA
CGACAGAGGGAGGCACACUAUUGGAGACGGUGGGCCUGGAUCCCCCGAUACCACCGCCCAUCAGUAGCGGGCCUCUCCCAGCCCUCUUCCACCCCAAUCCAUCCAUCUGUUGAGCUGCUCAACCAGCACACUAUUACCAACUAUGGCUUUUGCUGCAACGAGGAGGCUCUUGGUGUUAUUUGUGUUUUUUUGCGCCAUUGGACCAGGGUUAGCAGCGGAGCGACCGGCGGCGCGGACGCAGAGUAGCAGGGCGGAGCCGGCGGAGCAUUCCGCCCCCAGGCGGAGCUGGGAGCCCACCGCCCAGCUGGACGGGAGCCCUGUGGACCGCUACAGCGUCAGCGCCACCAAGCCAAUCAGAGCGCAGCACCGCCUGGCCAAAGCGGGCAGGGACAAGGAUGCCCGCGUUCCGCUACCGGAGGAUGUAGACCCUGAGUGGGCCAACCUGGACGGCUUCGCCGUGGUGGGGGGGGGACCGGUCAACGCGUCCUCAGCAGCAGGCCGUGCCGCCGGGCCCCUGCACCCCGCGGCUCCAGCCCGGGUGGAGGCCCCUGUGGAGGCGCCCGUCCCAGUGGAGCCGGCCUCACCUGUCUCCAGGGCGCACAGGAGGCCCCCCCAGUCGUCCUCGGGCCCCCGUCAACCCUACAGCAGGGCCCUGGGACGGCUCCCCCUGGUGGACAGGAGACAACAACACAGCACUAAGCCUCAGUCGGACCAACGGAACCGCAACGGCCACAAGCUAGCCUCUGAGUCCGUUCAUGUGGUGUCACUGCAGGCCCAGAGGACACCGGGUCGCCGGAGCAACCCCGUCAGCCGGCCCGUGCCGGCCC